rnacentral:lncRNA from 1 species
CUCCUGUACUGCAGACUUCACAUGUGGAUGCAGUGUACCAGGCCUGGAUUUCCCAGCUGAGAGGAUAUUGCUGGCACAGAAUGUUCUGUCAGAAAGUCAGAUCAGAUUCUGCUGCUCGGUAACCUGCUUCAGGCACCAUCAGCCAAGUAGUGUUGGGGCACUGGAACAGAAUCCUCACUGCAGUGGUCGUGGCAUGAAGCCUGCUGGAGUUCAAGAAGCAUUUAGACAAAUGUUUCAGAAAUAUGGCUUGAAUUUUGGAUGGUCCUAAAAUCUAGCUGAACUAGAUCAUUGGAUCUUUCUGGGUCCCUUCCAACACAAGAUAUUCUAUGGUUCUAUGAUUUUUCCCAUUGUAUGAAUAAUUACACUUGAGUACAGCAGAGUUAAGUAACUCUUUGGAAAAUAAUCUGUUAUAGGUCAGUACUGAAUUCUGAGAAA